rfam:Myotis brandtii contig316072, whole genome shotgun sequence.
GCCAGUUUGGCUCAGUGGAUAGAGCGUCAGCCUGGGGACUGAAGGGUCCCGGGUUCGAUUCCUGGUCAAGGGCA